rnacentral:rRNA from 1 species
AAUAUAGUACAGGACAAACGGGGGCAUUCGUAUUGCUACGUGAGAGGUGAAAUUCUUGGACCGUAGCAAGACGAACUACAGCGGAAAGCAUUUGCCAAGAAUGUCUUCAUUAAUCAAGAACGAAAGUCAGAGGUUCGAAGGCGAUCAGAUACCGCCCUAGUUCUGACCGUAAACGAUGCCAACUAGCGAUCCGCCGGUGGAUUCCUUGCCCUGGUGGGGAGCUUCCCGGAAACGAAAGUCUUCCGGUUCCGGGGGAAGUAUGGUUGCAAAGCUGAAACUUAAAGGAAUUGACGGAAGGGCACCACCAGGAGUGGAGCCUGCGGCUUAAUUUGACUCAACACGGGGAAACUCACCCGGCCCGGACACCGUAAGGAUUGACAGAUUGAUAGCUUUUUCAUGAUUCGGUGGAUGGUGGUGCAUGGCCGUUCUUAGUUCGUGGAGCGAUUUGUCUGGUUUAUUCCGAUAACGAGCGAGACUCUAGCCUACUAAAUAGUACGCACAUUGUCUCUGUGUGUGUGACUUCUUAGAGGGAUUUUCGGUGUUCAGCCGCACGAAAUUGAGCAAUAACAGGUCUGUGAUGCCCUUAGAUGUCCGGGGCUGCACGCGCGCUACACUGGCAAAAUCAGCGUGCUUGUCCUUCCCCGAAAGGGGUUGGUAAACCCUUGAAAAUUUGCCGUGAUUGGGAUUGGAAAUUGCAAUUAUUUUCCAUGAACGAGGAAUUCCAAGUAAGUGCGAGUCAUCAGCUCGCGUUGAUUACGUCCCUGCCCUUUGUACACACCGCCCGUCGCUGCCCGGGACUGAGCCAUUUCGAGAAACUUGGGGACCGUGGAUUCGGUGGCUUUCGGGUCGCCGUUUUCGUGGGACCAUUAUCGGGGGGG